rnacentral:rRNA from 1 species
AACAGUUGGAAACGGCUGCUAAUACCGCAUAAGCGCACAGUACCGCAUGGUACCGUGUGAAAAACUCCGGUGGUAUGAGAUGGACCCGCGUCUGAUUAGCUAGUUGGUAAGGUAACGGCUUACCAAGGCGAUGACGGGUAGGGGACCUGAGAGGGUGACCCCCCACAAUGGAACUGAAACACGGUCCAUACACCUACGGGUGGCAGUAGG